rnacentral:rRNA from 1 species
ACGCUGGCGGCAGGCUUAACACAUGCAAGUCGAACGGUAACAGGGAUUAGCUUGCUAAUUUGCUGACGAGUGGCGGACGGGUGAGUAAUGCUUGGGAAUCUGGCUUAUGGAGGGGGGUAACUACGGGAAACUGUAGCUAAUACCGCGUAAUAUCGGAAGAUUAAAGGGUGGGACUUUCGAGCCACCUGCCAUAAGAUGAGCCCAAGUGGGAUUAGGUAGUUGGUUAGGUAAAGGCUGACCAAGCCGACGAUCUCUAGCUGGUCUGAGAGGAUGACCAGCCACACUGGAACUGAGACACGGUCCAGACUCCUACGGGAGGCAGCAGUGGGGAAUAUUGCACAAUGGGGGGAACCCUGAUGCAGCCAUGCCGCGUGAAUGAAGAAGGCCUUCGGGUUGUAAAGUUCUUUCGGUGACGAGGAAGGUUGAUAGGUUAAUAGCCUAUCAAAUUGACGUUAAUCACAGAAGAAGCACCGGCUAACUCCGUGCCAGCAGCCGCGGUAUACGGGGGGUGCGAGCGUUAAUCGGAAUAACUGGGCGUAAAGGGCACGCAGGCGGUGACUUAAGUGAGAUGUGAAAGCCCCGAGCUUAACUUGGGAAUUGCAUUUCAUACUGGGUCGCUAGAGUACUUUAGGGAGGGGUAGAAUUCCACGUGUAGCGGUGAAAUGCGUAGAGAUGUGGAGGAAUACCGAAGGCGAAGGCAGCCCCUUGGGAAUGUACUGACGCUCAUGUGCGAAAGCGUGGGGAGCAAACAGGAUUAGAUACCCUGGUAGUCCACGCUGUAAACGAUGUCGAUUUGGGGAUUGGGCUUUGAGCUUGGUGCCCGUAGCUAACGUGAUAAAUCGACCGCCUGGGGAGUACGGCCGCAAGGUUAAAACUCAAAUGAAUUGACGGGGGCCCGCACAAGCGGUGGAGC